GGACUUUGGGAAGAGCAACUAUUUGAGGAUAGUUAGUCCAGGCGAGAGGAGCUAGUUUUUGCAACAACAAAAAACCUCAGGGCCACCUUAGAUGCUUUGAGGGAAGUGGCUUGCCUUCUCCCUUGUGGGCAUCAUCACAAGAAGGGAAUCUCCCAGUUUUGGAGGAUCUUUUGACAAGAUGCACUCUCCAUGAGAGGUUUCUGAAAGCAAGUUUAGCUGCCUGGUGCCCCCAAUGCAGUGUAGAGAUAGAAAGUGUUGAGGAAAUAACUCUAAUCCAUUACCUGACCUUCUUUUCUUCCCUAGAUUUCAAAGGCUGUGCAGGCUGCAGGCCUCCUUCUGUGACCCACCAAAACAUGAUGCCCUGGUCUAGGAGGAGGAGGAGGAGGAGGAGGAAUUAGUGGCUGUGCCUCCCAAAAAAGGGAACUGGUAGUCAAAAUCAGAGUAAUCCAUGUUUGACGCAAGGCUCAGGGGAUGGAUGUCACUAAGGUAAGAGAUCACCUGUGUUCAUGAGAAACAGUGAGGCCAGAGAGAAUCUGGCUCUCUGGGGAGGAAGGAGGCAGAUCACUGAUUCAAGAAGACUUCAGGGACAUCUCUUUUGAAGCAGAGAGAGAACCAUUUCUCUUUACUUCUGUCCUUUUCCAUUAUGGUGUAGUGCCCACUGCAGUCUCUCAGGUUUGCAGGUGUGCCCAUCGGUUCAAAGGGUUGGCAACCCAAGUUAGACUGCUGGACCAGGACUGGGGGACCAGGGUUCAAAUCCCCCCUCACCCAUAGAACUGAAUGGGUGGCCUUGGGUGCUCACUGCCUCUAGGCCUACCUCACGGAGCUGUUGUGAGGAUGGGAUGAGGGGAGGGGACUCACGUAAGCCACCCUGAGAUCCUUGCAGGGAAAAGGGGAUGUCAAUGGAAUAAUAAAUGCAUAGUGAAUGAGAAAAAUAAGAAUCUUUUCUUUUUUCUUCCAGGCAGAAAACAAUAGGCAGCAUCAAUAGGAAGUCCAGCAUCUCCAGUCCAGCUCCCCUCCAAAAAGACCCAUUUUCCCCCUUCCCCACA